AACCGGGAUCGCAUGCGGCCCUGGCCGUGGCAUAAGCAUUGGAAGCUCGGCAGGGAACGGCUCAAGUGUGAUAGUGGAGGAUGUACAUGUCUCAAACGGCAGUUUCUAUCAAUCGGAUGGUGGUCUGAGGGUUCAGACAUUGCAGGGAGGGUCCGGUCAUGCUAAAGGGAUCUUAUUCGAGCACAUCAAUUUUACUUCAGUCGGGAGCCCCAUAGUUAUAGACCAGUUUUAUUGUCCCGGCGCGCACUGCAAA